GGCAUGCACAGGAACAUUUUACUGUACAAAAUGGGAUCAUUGAUGACAUUUAGAACUUCUAAAUAACUCUCUUCAUUUUAAAUUCAUGCAUACGUGGAUAUAUCCCUACCCCUACCUCCCAUGUCUCCCUAAAGGAGGAAAUAAUCAGGAAACCCCUGGGCCAGGAGGACCUCAGAGGCUAUCUGGCUGUUCCCAGGGGGGCACAGCCCAGCAGCAUCCUCGACCUGGGAAAUGCAGGACCAGUAAGGAAAAGCCCCGCUGUUCUAAAUGGUCUGCUCGGGGGUGCUGAAAAGGUUUUGUUUUAAAACAAUAGAAAGUUUUCCAGUGUUAAUCCUUUUUUUUCUUCUUUUUUUGGGCAAAUACCUCCUCCUACUCUCUGGUUGUAUAAGGGUGGGUGAAGGUUGUUUUAGAUUAUGUCAUACAUGCUUAGAAAAUGCCAAUGCUGCCUCCAGAUAGGCUGGGGCAGAACCAGAGGAGGGGAAAGGAGAUCUAGGAAUUACCUUUUUACCUUUCUUCAUUCUGUACCAGUAUGUAAAAACCAACAUC
rnacentral:lncRNA from 1 species